rnacentral:rRNA from 1 species
ACACUCCUGCGGGAGGCAGCAGUGGGGAAUAUUGCACAAUGGGCGCAAGCCUGAUGCAGCCAUGCCGCGUGUAUGAAGAAGGCCUUCGGGUUGUAAAGUACUUUCAGCGGGGAGGAAGGCAAUACGGUUAAUAACCGUGUUGAUUGACGUUACCCGCAGAAGAAGCACCGGCUAACUCCGUGCCAGCAGCCGCGGUAAUACGGAGGGUGCAAGCGUUAAUCGGAAUUACUGGGCGUAAAGCGCACGCAGGCGGUCUGUCAAGUCGGAUGUGAAAUCCCCGGGCUCAACCUGGGAACUGCAUUCGAAACUGGCAGGCUUGAGUCUUGUAGAGGGGGGUAGAAUUCCAGGUGUAGCGGUGAAAUGCGUAGAGAUCUGGAGGAAUACCGGUGGCGAAGGCGGCCCCCUGGACAAAGACUGACGCUCAGGUGCGAAAGCGUGGGGAGCAAACAGGAUUAGAUACCCUAGUAGUCCCAUGA